rnacentral:lncRNA from 1 species
UCUUCACAUUGGAAAUCAAGGCCUCAAGCUGAUGAAAUGGCCAAAGUUUCCCAACUAAAAGAAACCACCAUGCCUGCCAGAAAUCAAAGUUGGAGAGCUCGUUGGAGCCCAUGGUAAUUGCUGGCCUUUUUGCUCUCUCUCUUCUCCUUCUUCCAUAGCUUUGGUAGUGCCAUCGGCUGCCAGUUUCAUCGAAAAAUUCAUCUAAAGAAAAACCCC